rnacentral:rRNA from 1 species
UACGGGGGGGGCAAGCGUUGUUCGGAAUUACUGGGCGUAAAGGGCUCGUAGGUGGCCAACUAAGUCAGACGUGAAAUCCCUCGGCUUAACCGGGGAACUGCGUCUGAUACUGGAUGGCUUGAGUUUGGGAGAGGGACGCGGAAUUCCAGGUGUAGCGGUGAAAUGCGUAGAUAUCUGGAGGAACACCGGUGGCGAAGGCGGAGUCCUGGACCAAUACUGACACUGAGUGAGCGAAAGCCAGGGGAGCAAACGGG